rnacentral:rRNA from 1 species
CCUACGGGAGGCCAGCAGUGGGGAAUAUUGUGCAAUGGGGGAAACCCUGACACAGCAACGCCGCGUGAGCGAAGAAGGCCUUCGGGUUGUAAAGCUCAAUAGUAUGGGAAGAUAAUGACGGUACCAUACGAAAGCCCCGGCUAACUACGUGCCAGCCAGCCGCGGUAAU